AUUGAACGCUGGCGGAAUGCUUUACACAUGCAAGUCGAACGGUAGAGGGGGCAACCCCUCGAGAGUGGCGAACGGGUGAGUAAUAUAUCGGAACGUGCCCAGCCGUGGGGGAUAACGUAGCGAAAGUUACGCUAAUACCGCAUACGAUCUAAGGAUGAAAGCGGGGGAUCGCAAGACCUCGCGCGAUUGGAGCGGCCGAUAUCAGAUUAGGUAGUUGGUGGGGUAAAGGCUCACCAAGCCAACGAUCUGUAGCUGGUCUGAGAGGACGACCAGCCACACUGGGACUGAGACACGGCCCAGACACCUACGGGUGGCAGCAGUCGAGAAUUUUUGACAAUGGGGGAAACCCUGAUCGAGCGACGCCGCGUGGAGGAUGAAGGUCUUCGGAUUGUAAACUCCUGUCAUUGGGGAACAAGGUGCAUACGUUAACUGCGUGUGCAUUGAUAGUACCCGAAGAGGAAGAGACGGCUAACUCUGUGCCAGCCGCCGCAGUAAGAC
rnacentral:rRNA from 1 species